GUUCAGACUGCUUCAGCUGUGAUCCGAAUCUAACAGAGAGUCCCCUAGGACAUACCGCUUCUCUCUCUUUCUCCCCUGCGAUUUGUGGGACCGGCCUGGAUAAGUUGAAAAACCAGUGACUGGGAUCUUUACAAGCAAAACAUUUACCUGUAUUUCAUCAUCAUGCGACCUAACCAUGCUUGGAAGAAUGCAAGUAAAACCAGAAAUCCUAAGCCACAAAAUGCCGUGGCUUGCAGCAAGUCCCACAAGAGACCCAUCAAUAAAAUCACUUGCAGCGGAGCGAUCCAGACAAAAUGAGCCAAAGCUAAACCCUGGGAACAAAAUGCACAAAGACACAGAUUAAUGUUUAAUGUAAUUACCUAGCAUGGUGUAAGCAUACAAUUCAGUAAAUGUUAUAAAUAAAAUAAAUAAAUAAAUUA